GACGAACGCUGGCGGCGUGCUUAACACAUGCAAGUCGAACGGAAAGGCCCUGCUUUUGUGGGGUGCUCGAGUGGCGAACGGGUGAGUAACACGUGAGUAACCUGCCCUUGACUUUGGGAUAACUUCAGGAAACUGGGGCUAAUACCGGAUAGGAGCUCCUGCUGCAUGGUGGGGGUUGGAAAGUUUCGGCGGUUGGGGAUGGACUCGCGGCUUAUCAGCUUGUUGGUGGGGUAGUGGCUUACCAAGGCUUUGACGGGUAGCCGGCCUGAGAGGGUGACCGGCCACAUUGGGACUGAGAUACGGCCCAGACUCCUACGGGAGGCAACGGAGGGGAAUAUUGCACAAUGGGCGGAAGCCUGGUGCAGCAACGCCGCGUGCGGGAUGACGGCCUUCGGGUUGUAAACCGCUUUCGCCUGUGACGAAGCGUGAGUGACGGUAAUGGGUAAAGAAGCACCGGCUAACUACGUG
rnacentral:rRNA from 1 species